CAAAGAGGAUUCUGGGAAAUGUAGUAGAGAAAUGAUGUUCCAGGCAGGAAGUGACAUAACAAGGAGACUCAUAUUUAAGAAAAGAGAAACAGAAAGUGUCCCUUUUCCCCUCUGCUCUUCCUCCAGCAGUGCAGUGUGGUCCACUGGCAAGAGAAGGUGACAGCAGAAGGCAUCCUCUAUAAGGGUGCUGCGAGGGAAGAACACUGUUAAGUGAGCCAUGUGAGUGAGGGAUUUAUCUCCUGCUUAUGAAACAGUCAGCUCCUUUCUCAGCUUCAAAGAGAACAAAAGGUUUCUCUGUGUAGUCCUGGCUGUCAUGGAACUUGCUGUAUGGACCAAGCUAGCGUUGAACACACAGAGACCUGCCUGUCUCUGUCUCUGUAUGCUGGGAUUAAAGAGGCUUACGCAUCAAUUCUGAAAUGGAUGCUGAAGCAGAUAUGAGCAUGGAACCGAGGUGAUUAAACCUGAUAAUCCAAAGGGAAAAUGUGGAUCCUGUUAUGGAAUAUGUAAAAGAAAAGGAAAAAAAGAAGAGAAAAGAGAGGAAAGAUGGGUCUACUUGAGGACUCCACAUGCUGUUGAAACCUGAGGUUCCCAGAGAGGCUGGAGGCAUCAAAUACCCUGUAUCUGGAGUUACGAAUGGCUGUGAGCUAGUGGGGAUCCCAGACUGAACUCCGGUAAAAAGAUCCACUGGAAGAGAAGCAUGCACCCAUAACCAACUUAAUCAUCUCUACAGAGAUGUAUGUUUCCAUAACACUGUAAGUGUUUGUACCAGGAAAAUAAAUGUAUUUAAAGCACACUAACAGAAUGAUAUUGUUUUCACAAUGGCAAAGGUUGCUUGAAUUGAACAUUAACCAACUUAAAAGACAAAAAUAAAGAGUUAGCUAAUUGCACUUAAAUAUUAAA
rnacentral:lncRNA from 1 species